CCUACGGGGGGCAGCAGUGGGGGAUAUUGCACAAUGGGGGAAACCCUGAUGCAGCGACGCCGCGUGGGCGAAGAAGUAUUUCGGUAUGUAAAGCCCUAUCAGCAGGGAAGAAGAAAUGACGGUACCUGAGUAAGAAGCACCGGCUAAAUCCGUGCCAGCAGCCGCGGUAAUACGUAGGGUGCAAGCGUUAUCCGGAUUUACUGGGUGUAAAGGGAGCGCAGGCGGCACGGCAAGCCUGAUGUGAAAGCCCGCGGCCCAACCGCGGGACUGCAUUGGGAACUACCGGGCUGGAGUGCCGGAGAGGUAGGCGGAAUUCCUAGUGUAGCGGUGAAAUGCAUAGAUAUCACACAGAACACCGAUUGCGAAGGCAGCUUACGAAUCCGCGAUUGACGCUGAUGCACGAAAGCGUGGGUAUCAAACAGGAUUAGAUACCCCUGUAGUC
rnacentral:rRNA from 1 species